rnacentral:rRNA from 1 species
GACGUAGGGUGCGAGCGUUGUCCGGAUUUAUUGGGCGUAAAGAGCUCGUAGGCGGCUCGUCGCGUCGACCGUGAAAACCCGCGGCUUAACUGCGGGCUUGCGGUUGAUACGGGCGGGCUAGAGUACUAAAGAGGGUCGCGGAAUUCCCGGUGUAGAGGUGAAAUUCGUAGAUAUCAGGAGGAACACCGGUGGCGAAGGCGGGUCUCUGGGCCGAUAUUGACGCUGAGGAGCGAAAGCGUGGGGAGCGAACAGG